UCGCGAUAUUGGUACCUCG
rnacentral:siRNA from 1 species